AUUGAACGCUGGCGGCAGGCCUAACACAUGCAAGUCGAACGAGUGGCGGACGGGUGAGUAAUGUCUGGGAAACUGCCCGCUGGAGGGGGAUAACUACUGGAAACGGUAGCUAAUACCGCAUACCAUCGGAUGUGCCCAGAUGGGAUUAGCUCGUAGGUGGGGUAACGGCUCACCUAGGCGACGAUCCCUAGCUGGUCUGAGAGGAUGACCAGCACCACUGGACCUGGGACAGGGUCCAGACUCCUACGUGAGGCAGAAGUGGGGAAUAUUGCACAAUGGGCGCAAGCCUGAUGCAGCCAUGCCGCGUGUAUGAAGAAGGCCUUCGGGUUGUAAAGUACUUUCAGCGAGGAGGCGUUACUCGCAGAAGAAGCACCGGCUAACUCCGUGCCAGCAGCCGCGGUAAUAC
rnacentral:rRNA from 1 species